AUACGGAGGAUCCGAGCGUUAUCCGGAUUUAUUGGGUUUAAAGGGUGCGCAGGCGGCCAUUUAAGUCAGCGGUUAAAUCGUGGGGCUCAACCCCAUUCUGCCGUUGAUACUGGGUGGCUUGAUUGCGGUCGAGGUUGGCGGAAUUCGUUGUGUAGCGGUGAAAUGCAUAGAUAUGACGAAGAACACCGAUUGCGUAGGCAGCUGACCAGAUCGCAAAUGACGCUCAUGCACGAAAGUGCGGGGAUCGAACAGGAUUAGAUACCCUGGUAGUCCGCACAGUAAACGAUGAAUACUUGUUUUCGGCGAUAUAAUGUCGGAGGCAAAGCGAAAGCGAUAAGUACUCCACCUGGGGAGUACGCCGGCAACGGUGAAACUCAAAUGAAUUGACGGGG
rnacentral:rRNA from 1 species